rnacentral:lncRNA from 1 species
AUAGUCUCCUCAGAUGGAAUCUUUUUGAUAUAGAUGUGGAGAAUUGAUUUUCAUCUGAAACUGAGGUAUCGAUACAGGGGACUCCAAAAAUUGGAACAAGAUCCUGCAAAAAGUUCUGAUCGAAGUGUUCUCUGAUGGAGACCCUUCGAUACUCAAAUUAGUGGGGAGAUGAAAAACAAAGAGAGAGGAAAAAAGAUCUUUCGAGAGCUUAUCUUGGAUCCCCGCUCCCCUCUAUCUAU